UUGCAUAUGCUUGGCCCAGGGAGUGGCACUAUUAGAAGGUGGCCCUGUUGAAGUAAGUGUGUCACUGUGGGUGAAGGCUUUAAGACCCUCAUCCUAAGGGGCUGGGGAUUUAGCUCAGUGGUAGAGCGCUUACCUAGGAAGCGCAAGGCCCUGGGUUCGGUCCCCAGCUCCGGAAAAAAAAAAAAAGACCCUCAUCCUAGCUGCCUGGAAGCCAGUAUUCUGCUUGCAGCCUUCAGAUGAAGAUGUAGAACUCUCAGCUCCUCCUGCACCAUGCCUGCCUGGAUGCUGCCAUGUUCCCACCUUGAUGAUAAUGGACUGAACCUCUGAACUUUGUUAGGGGGUUGAAAGAGUGGGAGAAAAAGGGUGGAGAAGGGUGGAAGAAAAGAAGAGCCCACAAUGUAGCAAGGACAGCCACACAGAACCAUGAAACAACUGGAACUGUAGUGCACCUCCCAUGCUGGUUGGAAGAGUCUCACGGCAGCAUAGAAGCAAAAAGGCCAGUCAGUGGUCACUGUCAAGGGAAUGAACGGGAAGACAACCAGCCAACUUGGUGCCUGCCUACCGGCCUGCAUUGUGUCCCAGGUCCCCAGCUCUGUGAGCCUCCACCCAUGCUGGGGUGAUGCAGCUGUCUUAAGUCAUUUCUGUGCCUUUAAGGAACCCCUCACCAAUAUUCCCGUAAACCACCCAAA